GCUGUGAUCAAAAGGAAAAAGGGUAUAAAUAGAACCCCCACACCUGACCACAAAAACCCUAGCCGCCUGCCCUCGCCGGAGAAGAUGAACCAGACGCCGGAGGAGCCGGCCGCCGCCACCCGCCGUCGCACCGGGGAGUUUUUCGACCGCUGAUCGAGGUAAAUUUCAUACCCCCGGCUCGUUUUUCCACGCUGAGUUCCCAUGU
rnacentral:lncRNA from 1 species